GACGAACGCUGGCGGCGUGCCUAAUACAUGCAAGUCGAGCGAAGUUUUUCUGGUGCUUGCACCGGAAAAACUUAGCGGCGAACGGGUGAGUAACACGUAAAGAACCUGCCUUAUAGACUGGGACAACUAUUGGAAACGAUAGCUAAUACCGGAUAACAGCAUUAACUGCAUGGUUGAUGUUUGAAAGUUGGUUUUGCUAACACUAUGAGAUGGCUUUGCGGUGCAUUAGCUAGUUGGUGGGGUAAAGGCCUACCAAGGCGACGAUGCAUAGCCGACCUGAGAGGGUGAUUGGCCACACUGGGACUGAGACACGGCCCAGACUCCUACGGGAGGCAGCAGUAGGGAAUCUUCCGCAAUGGGCGAAAGCCUGACGGAGCAACGCCGCGUGAGUGAAGAAGGAUUUCGGUUCGUAAAGCUCUGUUGUUAGGGAAGAAUGAUUGUGUAGUAACUAUACACAGUAGAGACGGUACCUAACCAGAAAGCCACGGCUAACUACGUG
rnacentral:rRNA from 1 species